UAUAAAGGAUACCGGCAACCAGGCACACACACACCAGUCCUGGUACGGAACUUCUCCUCUUGAGCAUUUGCGGAGCGUCGCAGAUCCUGACACCAUGAUCAAGAUUCUGAUCCUGCUUGCUCUGCUGGCCCUUUUCGCCGUCUCCUAUACUGUGGCGAAACCACAGUAUGUUCUUACGUACGGUUACCCGUACCACUAUGGAUACUACGGUGCCUACUACCCCCACUACUUCUACGGGCGCUGAACCCACACGAAGGCGAGGGCAGCGACAGUUUGCGGUGAUUUCUCCGAAAAGGAUGCGAAUCUGCUAACACACUCAACCACUGCCAUUGAAACAGACUCUCGAGACCUGCCUGUACACGUAAACAAAUGAAUCCUAGAGCCGCAAUUAGUCACCUGUGCUGCCCUUCGCAAACCAACGAUGUUAAUCGUUGGUUCGAACGUUGGGUUCUCACUCUGGAAUGUUUGGUUCUGAAAUAAAACCGUUCUGACCAGAUCCACGACA